rnacentral:rRNA from 1 species
GAUGAACGCUGGCGGCGUGCCUAAUACAUGCCAGUCGAGCGAACGGACGAGAAGCUUGCUUCUCUGAUGUUAGCGGCGGACGGGUGAGUAACACGUGGAUAACCUACCUAUAAGACUGGGAUAACUUCGGGAAACCGGAGCUAAUACCGGAUGAUAUUUUGAACCGCAUGGUUCAAAAGUGAAAGACGGUCUUGCUGUCACUUAUAGAUGGAUCCGCGCUGCAUUAGCUAGUUGGUAAGGUAACGGCUUACCAAGGCAACGAUGCAUAGCCGACCUGAGAGGGUGAUCGUCCACACUGGAACUGAGACACGGUCCAGACUCCUACGGGAGGCAGCAGUAGGGAAUCUUCCGCAAUGGGCGAAAGCCUGACGGAGCAACGCCGCGUGAGUGAUGAAGGUCUUCGGAUCGUAAAACUCUGUUAUUAGGGAAGAACAUAUGUGUAAGUAACUGUGCACAUCUUGACGGUACCUAAUCAGAAAGCCACGGCUAACUACGUG